CCUAUUAUAUAUGGACUGCUAGUUGAUUCUCGUUUCCAUACAAAAUUUUUGAAAAUGUGGUUCAAUGAUUACUAGCGCCUGUGGAAGAAAGUGGUAAAUAGAACUCAGUUAGCGUAGCGACAUCUUCCGUCAGAUCGCUUGAACUACCAUUUUUGUGCAUAGAAACUAUGGCCAUCUACAUUUUUUUGCUACAAAAAUGAAUAGCAUCUGUCUUUUUUGAAGUCUACUUUUUGACGUAUUGGAAGAACGAAGAAUUCUUUCAGUAAAAAAAAAGUAUUUUAAAAUAUUUUUUGUGCAAAGAUAAAUGUCGGGGAAAAUAAUUGAACCAUGUUGGAAAAAGAUGCAAAUUUAUCACAUAUGGAAUCGUGUUGGAUGGAAGGAGGGCCAAAUGCAUCAACAAAACCAUCCGCACAAGCAUUAUCACACCAGCAUCAACAACAACGUAAAAUUAUUAAUAUUUACUGCAGCCUACAAAACAAUUUUUAAAGUUUUCUUUUUCAGUUGUUUUCUCUAGGACUCCUGAUGAGGAUUAAAAUAAAGCUAUCCAUCAAUCAUCGACGAAAAAGAAACUGUAUUUGACGACUCAUGAAUUCCGGGUGCACUGAGCGUACUUUCGAGAGUCCUUCGAGAGGACUGACAAAAGAGUAGAUCUCUCAACGAAUAUAAUUUAUAUCCUGUUUCUACACAUUCACAAAGUUUCAUCCUAUGAUUGUGCAGUAUAGGAUUGGUUAUGCAUGGAUGUCAUUGAAUUGGAACCACUCUUCAGAGUUGCCUUCUAUCUUCUGCUCAAUAUGGCUGAGAAUGUUGAACUUUAAGAGAAGAUACAUCGUAAAAAUAUAGUCAAUAUGCUUGUCAAGCUAGUGACGAUGACAACGUUCCUUAAGAAACUUUAAAUAGUUGGUGAUAAUAAAGCUUACAUGAACGAGCUAAACAUUGUCGCCAAAGCUGAUGCAGCAGUGGCUGAUGAAGCAAUGGCAAUGCUGACCCAAUACAAGAAAACUUAAGUUAGUUUUCAGUUUAUCCUUUGAUGGAUCAUUACGUCGGAAAAUGUUGCAAGCUGCAUUACUACCAAUGUUGGUGAUGUUUUUAUAAAGAAAAGCAUCAUGGUAUUGCUUUGAAAAUCUUGUUUCACUUAACUUUGGAUGGUAAGGUAAAAUCAAUGUUGACCCUCACAGAAUAUGUGCGAAUGGUAACUGAUGCUAUAUAAUUCUCAAUAUAUAUACCAAAGUUGACCUCGGUGUGCUAUGCAUUCUUUUGCUAAACAAAUAACGUUAUGUACAAAUAAUGGUCGCUGGCAAUGGCCUACACAAUCUAAUGAUCGAGCCUUUAAAUAUCAGGAUGCUGUUCUAAUAAAACGUAUUCAAAAUCUAUCACCGCAUAAAAAUCUUCAACACAUUAUGUUUAUCGAUAAUGUUUUUGUUUUUUAUUUGGCCCGCAUCAAAUCACAGUGAAUGAAACCGAAAUCUCUUCACGUAUCCGAAAUCACAAAGGAUGGCAGAGUCAAUCACGAGUUGGUGACUACUGUGUUUGUGAAAGAUGUGGUGAGUGCGGAGCAAUGUUGGAUGAAUACAAAUUUAAUUCCAUGGCAGUGCGCGAGUACAACAAAUUUUUUUUUGGAUCAUCGUCUGCAGCAGGUUACUCUUGAU